rnacentral:rRNA from 1 species
UACGUAGGGCGCAAGCGUUGUCCGGAAUUAUUGGGCGUAAAGAGCUCGUAGGCGGUUUGUCGCGUCUGCUGUGAAAACUCGAGGCUCAACCUCGGGCUUGCAGUGGGUACGGGCAGACUAGAGUGCGGUAGGGGAGAUUGGAAUUCCUGGUGUAGCGGUGGAAUGCGCAGAUAUCAGGAGGAACACCAAUGGCGAAGGCAGAUCUCUGGGCCGUAACUGACGCUGAGGAGCGAAAGCAUGGGGAGCGAACAGG